CCUUUUCGCCGAGGGAUCGGGUUAAGGGGAGGCUAAGAAAGUCGCAUAACAAUUAAUUAAUCAAACUAAUAUUCAAGAGGAGUAGGUAAGAGAGAGCGAAUUAGAUGAAAUUGUGAACCCCCAACAACAUUCAUUCAUCCAUUGUUUUCUUUUUUCAAUUGAAUCAACUUUAUUUUGCAUGUUAAUAUUUUUGUUAUCAAAUCCAAUUUAUUAAUUUUUAUUUUCAAGUCUUAUUAUU
rnacentral:lncRNA from 1 species